GGAGGGGCGCCGGGCAGGGCCGGCGCCGGGCAGGGCCCCUCCCGGAGCACGGGCACGGCUGGCGGCCCGGCCGCAGGUACUCUUCAUCACUAUGAGCUUGUUUCAUACAGGGACCUUAGCCCACUUGGUCAGUGGAUGUUAGAUCUUCCCUGUGAAGCCAAACUGAGUUGGUUACUUCCUACCACAAUGGGUUGGGGUUGGUGACUGUGUUUGCCCAGCAGGUCUAAGUUCAUGGUGUGCCAAGGACAGAUGUGAAGCAGGUCUUCAGCUCCAUAUUGAUGUGGUAUCUUCUUAACGCAUCGCGACGUCCUGAGCCCACAGCAGCACAGGAUAUGGAGGCUCUUGAAGUGGAUGACAUCAGCCCUGCCUUGGAAGUGACUGAGGACUUCUUCAAUAGUUUUGAUACUAAGCUUGAAAAGAUUGUGCAGCCCUCUGAGGUGUAUGGUGUACAGGAGGUCCCUGAGCUGGUUGGGCGUGAGGUGUUUGAUCAGCUAACUGAGAGCAGGAACCUGAGGAACGCCGCCUCCUUAGCCAAAGGCAGCCUCAUCUGGGAUCACUGCAAAAAUGGCCUCUUGGAAACCAAAGCUCAGACAGCAUUCCCUGCCAAAGACCAACACGUGGUGCAGAGGGGAACAGCUGCUGACAGCCUGGCUUGGGCAGGGGAAGGGGAGAACACAGCUUUUAAUAUCUUCAGGAUCUGCCAGCGGCGCAGAGACAGGCCUCGCUCAGUGAAUGACAUCCUGGUGCAGAGUGAGGAAACCUCCAUGUUCAAACCAGGCCACAACAGGUCACGCUCUGAUAUCAGCCAUGUCAACUGGAGAGUGGUCUUCACAGGCACCUCCCUGCAGCAGCCACCUGCACCUGGGCAGGACAAUAAUUGUGCUCUGCUUUCCUACCUGGCGUUAACCAAGGGAGAGGACAUCCAAGGAAACACAGAACAUAAGACAGUGUUCCCAAAUCUUCUGAAGAAGGGAUACUUGGAAGUUAGAAGAGACAAUGACAGCUACUGGCAAACCUGUUACGCUGAGCUCUCCCAGUACAAACUGUACCUGUAUUGCUUGGACAGCAGUGGCAACCAGACUCUUCCCACCGUGUAUCCACUCAUGCGUUUUCAAAGGGUCACUGUUACCGGUGGUGUUGAAACCAAGGUGGUGGACACUGUCCUGUCAGACAGCUCACAGCUACAGCUGAAGGCAGAGUCCUCGUGGGAGACUUUGGACUGGGGGCAGAAACUUUGGGAGGCAGUGCGUGCUUCUGUGCCUGCUUUUACAAGACAGCAGGAGAAACUGGAGAAUGUGCCAAAGCCUGAAAAUAACAGUGACCUUUCUCAAACUAAUGGAUUGUUAGAGAAGCCUAUGGAGCUCUUCCUAUCCAUGAAUUUGACUGAAAACACUAAAGAGUACCAAAAUAUUCUGAAAUCAGGGACUCUCUACAGGUUAACCGUCCAGAAUAACUGGAAGGCAUUUACUUUUGUCUUGAACAGGUCUUACCUCAUGGCAUUCCAGCCGGGUAGGCUUGACGAAGAUCCCCUGCUGAGCUACAAUGUGGAUGUGUGCCUGUCAGUGCAGACAGAUACUCAGGAUGGCUGUGACUCUUGCUUUCAGGUCAUUUUCCCCCAGGAUGUGCUGCGCCUGCGCGCAGAGACCCGUCAGAGGGCCCAGGAGUGGAUGGAGGCGCUGAAAGCAGCAGCCAACGCUACUCGAAGUUUAACUCAAAACCCACAGGUCACGCUUAGGAGCAAACCUGGAGAUCGGCCCUUUGGAAGUGAGCUUAGAAAGAGCAAGCGCCAGUCUGUGACCACCAGCUUCCUGAGCAUCCUGACCACUCUGUCUCUAGAGAGAGGGCUCACAGUUCAGAGCUUCAAGUGUGCAGGCUGCCAGCGCUCCAUAGGUUUAUCCAAUGGGAAAGCCAAGGUGUGCAGCUACAGUGGAUGGUAUUACUGCAGCACCUGCCAUGUGGAUGACAACUUCCUUAUCCCUGCACGGCUGGUUCAUAACUGGGACACUUCCAAAUACAAGGUAUCAAAACAAGCCAAAGAGUUCCUGGAAUAUGUUUAUGAGGAGCCAUUAAUUGAUAUCCAGCAGGAAAAUCCCAUGUUGUACAGUCAUGUUGAACCUCUGGCAACUGUUGUCCGCCUGAGGCAGCAGCUAAAAUCUCUGCGAGCCUACUUGUUCAGCUGCAGAGCAGCAGUGGCUGAAGAUCUGCGUAGAAGGAUCUUUCCUAGAGAGUAUCUUCUACAGCAAAUCCAUCUUUAUUCUCUAGCAGACCUUCAGCAGGUUAUUGAAGGAAAGCUGGCUCCUUUCUUGGGGAAGGUGAUCAAGUUUGCCUCCUCUCAUGUGUACAGCUGCAGCCUUUGUAGCCAAAAGGGUUUCAUCUGUGAGAUAUGCAACAAUGGAGAAAUCCUUUACCCUUUUGAGGACAUUUCUACAAGCAGGUGUGAAAGCUGUGGUGCUGUCUUCCACUCUGAGUGCAAAGUGAAGGCUGUACCAUGCCCCAGGUGUGUGCGUAAGGAAUUGCAGAAGAAGCAGAAAUCCUUCUGGAGGCAACUGAAUAUGGACGAGAACUUCGAGGAGUCUUGGAACAUGUUUGAAUUGUCAUAUCAGAACACAUGAGUUCCUUAAGGCAGUGGCCAGCCUGAAGAGAAUCCCUCUCCCAGCUGUCAGCUGAAGCAAAUUCUCAGCUUAGGCAGAAAUUGUUUUGAAAAAUAUUACCUGAUCUUCUUCAUCUGUGAAUAAGAGCUGUCAAAGUGGCCAUAAAGCCUUGUUGGCUUUGAAAUAACAGUGGCUAAACUGCAUUGAAGUCCAGCCGUUAGCUCUCACACAAAAUGUGGUUUAUGAGAAAUGCUUUAGGUCUAGCUAAUUAAGUACCCAACUUUCUUUUCCACCUCUGGAGAAGACUUUAUCUCAAGGCAGAAAAUAUUUGCUGCCAUGGCUGCAUUAUUUUUUUUGCUGUUCAUUUAGAAUUGAUGAAUCAUCUACUUAUUUAUGUGUAUUAUUUAUUUAUUAGUAGCCUUGGCAGGGGUUCUGGUGAUGUGUUUCACAGAGCACAAUAGAGCCAGAAUUAUUUUAAAUCCACUAUCUUCUCCUGAUAGUGACAUGUGGAUCCAUUUCCUCAUGUUUUCAGAGAACUAUCUUAAAGGAUCAGUGCAUUUACAUUUUAAAGAAUCUCCUUGCCAAGGAAAGAAAAAGUUCUCCCAUUAAACCUUAUUCAGGGUGCUUACAAACUUAAGAUACAGAAUAAUUCCUUCAGUUAUGUUUAUAUAUUUAUAACCACCACAGUGAACUACUCCAUAUUCAGAUAAGCAUGAAAAUUGCUACUCCUUUUUGUUCAGGCUGGGAAUAUCAGUUAAGCUCUGUCACUGAAGUCCUUUGAGAUUUAUGCUGGGUACUCUCAAUUUAUGGGAGGCUAUGUCCUUGUGUGUAGUAACAUGAUGUUGGUUCUCCUCUUUCCACUCUGAAACUUUAGGGCAUUUUAAGUGUUCACAUUGGUUUUCUUUUUAUUUCAUGAAGUUUACUUCAAAUGUUUUUCUAAUCUGAACCUUUUAAACUGAUAGUCAGGAAAGUAGUCUUGCCCAUUUUAGUUAGCAAAUACCUCCAAAAUUGUGAAACACUAAUUUGCUGUUUUCAUAUGCAACUUGUGUCUUGCAUUCUCUUUGAGCUCCAAGACAGUUAUAGUUCUGUAAUGACUUCCGUGGUGGACAGUGAAGUUCCUUGAGGUAUGAUUCUUCUUCACACACCUGGACCACAGGGAAGUACUAAACACAGUGAAUUAUUUUGUUAAGGGAAGUACAAAAUGGAUUUAACUGGGGAGGCAUUUAAAUGGGGAGGCAUCUUUACUGGCAGUAUGUUUAAUUCAUGGUGAGCUCACCUCCAAUGAGCAGUUAGAUUGUCUUCCCCCAAUUCACAUUCCUGACUCUUUUCCACACCCUGCAAUGAUAUGUUUAUUACAUACCAGUGAAAGCAUUCAUAUAUAUAUAUAUAUAUACACACAUCUAUAUACAGAAAGCAAAUACAGUUUCAGGAGAAUAAUGCCAGUUGCAUGUGUAUUUUUCCUCUUCUCUCACACAGGUUUGUGAAAAUACGGAAUACUGAUUUUUGCUUCCUAUAUAAUCUACAGACUGUUGUAUUCAAGGCAGAAAGCAGUUUUGAUUGUUGAAGCAUCUCACUAAUUGCUGAAGUAUUUUAAAUAAAAGAACAGGGUACAUCAUGCUUACAUUAAAAGGUAAAAUGCUAGAAUGAGUUGCCUUGUACUGGAAUAUAAGUGGUUACUUUUCCUAGCCUCCAGUCAAAGAAAAAGCUUUCUCAAAUUUGAGUGCAACUACUAUAUAUAUAGAAGCAUGUUUAUAUCUGUAUACAUUAGACAACCAGUGCCUUUUUUUUCCAGAAAUUCUUCUUUCAUUGGGAUUCUUUAGAAGGAAGUGAGGGUUUUUCCAUAUUCUUGGCAAAGUGCUGUAGGGAUUCCCAUACUUAAUAAACCUGGUGAAUCAUGCACCUUUGUCACUAAAAUGAAUACUUCUCAUACACAAUGGUGUCUCUGUCUCAGCUCACUGUUCCUCGUGUGAAAUGAGUUGCUUUUGGCUAUCACCCUUAAAGGUAUAAUGUUCCUUGCAAAUCCAUUCUCAUGCAAAGAAUUCCCUGUGUGUUCAGAAAUGCAAACACUGGGGAAGUAUUGUGGAAUUAGUCAGGCAAACAGGAACUGCACUGGUACUGGCUGAAUAAACAGAACGCUCCCAUGUUUUUCAGCUUGUGUCACUACAAUUACUCCUGUAGCAAAGCCAGUAGCUCUGAAACUGUCAGCAUCUGGCAGGUACUAUUUUGAAUUAUCUGUAGACAUAAUGUUAAGUCAUUAAAGAAAAAAUUGUGGUGUUUUUGAUAUCAUCAUGCUCUGGUAUUUAUGGUACCUCACAGUGCUGGUUCAUGUCCAGCUCAAUUUAGAGAAGGCUGCUUGAGUGCACUGUCAAAAACCAUAUGGAGUCAAGGAAUCAAGGUUCAGACAUUGCAAAAUAUUAGUUACUUUGACAGAUGUCCUAUCUCCAAAGUACCAGUCAUGUGGGUGGUUAGAUAUUGGAGUUGAAUUCUAGAAUAACAACAUAGACAGCAUUGGAGUUGCUCUGUGUUUGUACAGGUAUUACAGUACAGUUUCUUUGCUAACAGAGAUUUAAAGGAUAAAAAGAGUAUGAUGUUGGCAAAACUGCUGAAAUUAGUCAUGGGUCUGAAACCACUGCCAUUACCAAUGAUGUAGAGCAAGAGCAUGUUAUGAUAUUCUGUCAGUGCCCAGAGUUUUAUAUAAAAGGAUACUGUACAAUACUGAUCAUGUUACCUGCUUUAAAAUCCAGUGUUCUUGUAAACCAGCUAGUUCCUAAAAUGAAUAGACAUUAAUUUCUACUUUGGAAAAGUGAUACAGCUUCACACAAGCUCUAGGAGCAGGCUGUAAGGUGGAAGAUGAUGUCCUCUCAGGGAUGCCUAGCUUCUAUCCAAAAGUAGUUAUUCCUUAUGAAUGGGUAAGAUAAAGUAUUCUGUUACCAGUUUUUGUAAGCAUAAUGAAAAGCAUAAUCUUGCCUUCAGUCGAUUUUCUUGCAGGAGCCAUCUGCAAGCAGGAGCCUCAGCCUGGGGUUCUGCAGGUGGUUUGGGUUUCAGACAGUGCUGUGCCCUUGCAUGGUUGUCUCUGCUGUACUAACAGUGCCCUGUGCUGGUCCCCACCGCUACUCUCUGCCCAUUCUGCAGCCCCCAGCCUGCACAUGGCUCUGCUCUGCAGACUUCUGGAUGAGCAUCAGCUGGUAAAGUUCCCGGGAGCUUUGCAGAUUGCACGACUCUGCCUGCCCCCUCCCCCCACCCCAGGUGAAAUUAUCUAUUAGCACUUCAGUCCUUCCUACCCACAUAUGAAAUGAAUUUGAAUGAUGCCAUUUCAUUGUGAAUCAAGAAUAAAAUCUGCUAUUUGUCGUCUUCAAAGAGAAGAUGUUUUCAUAGCUGAUGGAGAAAGAAUUGAUCUGUAAUCCAGUUACUGCUUUUGCUUUGUGCAGAACUUGUUAUCAGUGUAAAAAUAGGAUGCUUAACUGCAGUGGACCAUAGCUUCACUCUCUACAGGCACUUAUAGUUGUUACUCUGAUAUUAUUUUAAUCUAGGACACUAUUGAGAUCCUUAUUUCUCUUUUCCUCUUUACCCUAACCAUCUGCCUUUCCUUUAAUGGGAAGAUGGGCCUACUUAGGGAAUGCAAACUGCAGCUCUUUUUGUAUUAUCAAUCUAUAAAAAGAGAAAUUUAUAUUUAUUGUGUAGGAAUCCUCCUAUUGCUUUUCUUAUUUUUUGUCUGUCUUGUGUGGUGGAAAAUGAUGGGUUCAUGAUGUGACAAAAUAUCCUGGCUGGCUCAUACCAAUAUGAGCUCACUGCUGGGAUCGAUAGGAAUUGGCAGGUGUGAGGGAAGAUAGUUUUUUGUGAGGAAUUUAAGUUUUUCACAGUACUCCACAGGCUCUGGUGGCCCUGUUAGGAGUGAAGUGUCAGGGUAUCUCUAGAGCUCUUCUUGUCAAGGCUUCUCUUAUUAUUAGGAUAGUGUGUGUAUUAUAAUGGAUUGAUGAUAAUGUCUUGAAAGAUUUUUAAAAAGAACAGAGGAUGUCUGUUUACAAUGAAAUGGGGAAUCUGCCCAGUUGAAUUUUGCUUGUUCCCUGUAGCAACAGAAGCCACUGAGUUUCCUAGGCUUCCCAAGGUCACUGCCUGGAUUGCAGCUGACUGUUGAUCUGUAUAAAAUAAAUUAAUUGAAUAAUCAUCUUCUAAUUUUUUUUUGCUGCCGCUCAGUUGCCAGCCAGUCUCCCCUCUCUCUCCGCUGUCUCUGUCCCUGUCCUUACUCAGUACUGAGCCUAUAGCCAGACUUGGAGCUUCAUAGCUCAUUGUGUUGCUUUUGAACCAGUUGAGUCCAAUCAUUCUCUCCUUCGUAAUUUGCCUUCCAAUUUUCCCUUCCCAGUAGGAGUGCCUUACAUUACUGUAUAUUAGCAUCUCUCUUCCUGUUUUGGAUUUCCUGAUUGCAUCUGCUGUUUUAUUAACUUUGUAGACUUAAACUGAAACUCUCCUGUGGCUGUGCCUGCUUUUUUGCAGGAGCAGCUGAGUAAAUCAGUUUGCUUGUUCUGCCCUCAUGAAGUGAGCUCUGCAGGCUUCAUAUACCAGCUCUGAAGACACCAAACUAUGUGGGAACUCCUCACUUUUGCUCAUUUUGGUGCCUUAAAUUUUGAGAAGUGAAUAAUUUUUUUAAAAAUGCUCUGCCACGAUGCAAUGUGUUUGGCAUUGGAGCAUAAAACCCUUGCUCGUGACAGUUUCCAUCUUGCUAGGAAUGGUAACCAUAAAAUUUGUUUACUGUCCAUACUUUGUGAGGGCAUUAUGAGAGGGGGUAGUGUGGAGAUGGUAUUGGUUCUUAUUAUGUGUAUUUUUGAGACUAGCUGGGCUGCUUAGCCUGAGAUGCAGUUUUGCAAGACUUUCAGAAGCCGUGCAUAUGUAAUAAUGUCAAAUACAGAGAAUUAAAACAGGUCAGGGUACAUGCAGUUUUGCUCCUCCUGGAACCCCUGGCCAGUCCCCACAGCGUGGCCAGGGACUCCCAUGCAGAGCUCCCUGCUCACUUGCACAGCUGGGCCCAGUGCUGUGGGACUGAAGGUGUUUCCUCAAAGCUCAGUUUUAAUGCAGCCUGGCUGCCUGAAGGCUAACCCGGCGGGGUUUGGUCAGCCUUACCUUAGAGAGAGGGUUAACCCAUUGCAAUUUUAGCAUUAUUUGCUGAAGUUUGUGGCAUGUGUCAGCCUGGGGCACAUGUCCGUACUAACUGUGAUUUCAUAAGUCCACAUUUGACCCCAGUAGCAGGAAACACAUUUGACAGCGGCACUGCUGUUGCUGUAUUUUAGCAGUACAGUGAGGAGACAGCCUGGAUAAUAAUGUGCAAAGUCCUUCUUUACUUGAAAACCCUGGCAUGGCCAUGAUGGCUUGUGUCAUAUCUUAAAAUGCCAGUUUCACCCAAAUUCCUUAGGGUGGCCAUUAAUCCAAAUUGCAGAGAUGCCACUUGUGGUCAUCAUCAGAGAUGUCUAGGUCUGGAGAGCUAUCAGCUGUCUAGGACCAAAGUGUAUUAGACUUUGCACAAGUGUCAGUGGCUCAAUUAUUUAUUUAUUCCUGUCUAAUCCACAUGUUAAACCAAUAUAAAUCCUUGAAUAUGCAGCAUUGUUUUGGUGGAAAAAGAUUUGUUUCAGUUUUGCUUAUGCACUUGUUUACCAAGUUGAUUUUGCUUAAACUAAACUCUGCUUUCAGGCUGAUUUUUAAUUCAUCCCUGUGAUACCAAGUUACCUUAUACGAGCCCCUGCUAUACUUGAGGAACCUUUGGACUUCAUCCCUGUGAUGAAAUCAGCUACAAGCAAUGAGUUAAUGUUUGACUGGGACCACACAAGCUGCACCAGGAAACCAUGUGCAAGACCUUCUCUUCCUCCUUAUUUGCUUUACAAGGACCCACUGCAUCCCAGCUGAAAAUGCCUCAGUGGGUGGAAGGUCUGUCUGUGAGGACAUGCAUUGUCAGUCUGUGCCUGUACCCUCUGGGCUGGAGCCAGGAGCAGGGAUUAGAUGAACUCCUGAGCAGACCUGUCUAGCAUGGUGGAGGCUCGUGGACUCUUCUGCACAUGGAUAAAAGUAAGGCAAUUUUUAAUAAUUUAAGAGUUUUUAAACUACAAAAGCAUAUUCUUAGGGCCAGGAAACACUUCCUUUUUGGUAUUCAGGGUUUGACACAGUAAAUUUUGUGCAGACAUAUCUUCUGUUUCUAAUAGUGAUGGAUGCACAUAAAGCACUGUACUCUCAUACUGUACUGAAGAGAUGAGUAACAAACCUAUCAACUGCACUUGCACUUACACCAUAUUUAAUCCUGCUCUGGUUGUUCUGCUACAUAUUCAUAAAAAACAAAAAGGAAACAGAAGCACAGAGCAAGCCAACAGAUGUCUACCUGGGUCUUAAUUGGAUUUUAUGUGUCCCCAGUGUAGCAAAUACAGCAUUAUUUACAGCCAGGCUCUAAGAAUUAGAUACAUCUGGAGGAGUGGCAAAACCUGAACCAGGCUGCAAGAGUUGAUAGAUUUAACUGAAAUGAGGAGCUGCCCCAUUUCUCCCUUCUUAUCUUCACCCUUCCCACUUAUGUACCCGUUCCCCAUUGUGUGUCAAAUCAAACUAAGAUAUUGCCCAAGAGAAUGCUUAUAAAAAUGAAAGAUGCCAACAAAAAAGAGAAUUUCUGCUCUUAUGAAGCUUCAUCAGCAUUUUCUAAUUGUACAGCAAUGAUGAUAAUAAAAAGGCUGCCCUCUGCUCUCAGCUAUAAUUUGGAUAAUCAACUGACAGCCAUAAUGAAACUGUCUGUGAUUGCUUUCUGCUGUGCUGCUAGUUCACAGAAACUCAUUGUUGGGGAGAAUUAAAAGUUAUGACUCCUGCUACAAGGAUAUGCCACUGUCUUCCAAAGGAAUAUGUGACUUGUAAUUUUCUUCUGUAUAGCUCUAUUACAGGGAAAACUUCCAGCAUAAAGCAAAGAGGUAUAGAUAGGGAUGUGAGAUUUCUUCCCUUCCCCCCCCCCAC